rnacentral:tRNA from 1 species
GGUUCACACCCUUCCCAUACUA